rnacentral:piRNA from 1 species
UGAACACACUGGUGAAGGAGCUCUGUCCC